AACCUGUUAAAUGCCUGUAUGUCAAGCAGUACACAAGAAGAAACAUUUCUGGCAUCUGAAUUCAUGGGGAGGAGGGCAAGGUGCAUAGUUCCAAAGCCAUUAAGCUCCACAGCCAUGUAAAAAAAAAAGAAUAAUGACUCAGGACUCUUCAUUCCGGCUUUACCUGAGCUUUGUAUAGAGAGAUGCCUGUCUUUUAUUUAAUAAACUGUUGUACUUUCAUGACACAGAGGCUGUCUGCAAAUACCCAAAUGUGGUAAUGAUAUUCAUAGCUGACUGUUAGAUAAGAUCAGCCAUCACAUGGACUUAAAAUACCUUCUCUUUAAUUUCGUACAAGAUGCAAAGUUCAAUGUUAAGAAUAUCCUUUAAUGAUUUGCCCUUUUGACAGCUUCCUGUACCCUUGAAUGUCUUGAUUUUUUCUAUGCUGCCUUUGAUUUCUUUCUUGGAGAAUUGCAUUUACUGGGCAAAGCCUAGUUCAUGGGUAAGGAACCAGUGUAACCCUCCAGAGUCCAGAUGUUGUUGGACUCCCAUCAUCCCUGAACAUUGACCAGGCUGGUUUAUGAAUAUAUCCUUCUGAUGAGAGCUGAAGACCAAAACAUAGAGAGGGCUACACUUUCCCCAUCCCUGGUCUAGGUGAUUGGACAUUUGUUCAGCUUGGCGUGUAAACAACAGUAUGCACUACAAGGUUUAAACAUAGUUUCUUGACAAAUCUGCCUUCUGCAGUGGCAAUAUUUAUAUUUAUUUUUGGCAGUGUUCUUUGUAAUGUAUCUACUACAGAUUUAUAUGCCAGUAGAUUGUGAAGAAGCUACCUUGGGAAAGGUGACAGGGAAAGGAAUGGAGACAGCAGUGGGUGCUCCCACAGAUGUGUGGAGAUUCCCACCUCCCGUUGAGGUGGGAUGUGACUAGUCCUAAGAUCCCCAGUGAGAAAAAGAUGCUCUGUACAACUACAUCUAUGGAACCACCUGCCACAACUACCCUGCUGUCUUCCCCAAGGUAGCUUUCUUUGUCUAGGGGGUAGGAGGAGGAGGAGGCAGUAGCAGAUGCUCAAGGGGCUCAAAAACCCAACAUAACUAUACCAUUUUGGAAUAGGGAGGUAAUCACUCCUCCCUAUUUCCAGUCUCAACCUAUGGAGUGAAAUUAUACUGAGUUUUCUAGUCACAGAGUCUAGUGGUUAAGUUUGACUAUUGUGCAUAAUUAAAACCUCAACCCCUAUCUUUCCUAAUGAUGAGUAUAUUCAUAAUAGCCCUCACUAAAAUGAUCUGCCACUGUGAUAAAAUGCAAUUUACUGUGAGACAGUGGGAUGCUUCUAUCAUUGGCAGUGAUGCGCAUGAGGAUUCAACUGAUUAAAGCAGGUGGGAGAGCAGGUGGCACUGCCUCCCAUACCGGAUGUGCUUGCCUGCUGUCCACACAUUAGAUGUGAUGGAAGAGGAGCUAUAGUGCAAUGGAAGUUGGGUCUGCACUGACCCUAAAUCACUGUUACCUCCAACAUGUGACACCAUCUUUCUCUCCCGCCACACCUUUGCAGCCUUGCGUGAGCAAGUUAUAACCAUCUCACAAUGCCCUACUGGGCUAAUUUGAUCAUAUUCUGAAGAGUCAAUAUUUUUAGUUUCUGUUUAAUUCCAACAUGGGUGAGUUGCUUCACAUCAUUUGGCAUUGUAUUAAUGUUAAUGCCUUGCUUAGCAUUCAUUUUAAACGAUUGCGCAGUAGAAAUUUGCCAUCUUCACAGCAAGCGGAAGCUUUCUGCUCCUUUAAUUACCCGUGCAUGAUUCCUCAUGCUACGCAUUGGACAAGUGUGUCAGCUGCUGUGAAGGAUAGGUGCUUAAUCAAUUAUGGAUUACAGAACUUCACAAGAAGACUUAAUCGCAAGGGACUUGGUAUUGCUUAGAAAUGCUCUAACCAGCUUUUGUUUUAACCGAGUAAAUUUUCCAGAUUUUCAAUUUGCCCUCUUAGAAAUAUUAAGCGAUUGGGGUGUGGGGAGAAAGCUUCAGUUGUAUAGAUUCCAUGUGUCUGUUUCAGCGUACAGACAAAUCUGGCAUAUAGGUCCACUCUUCUGCCACUGACAGCCAUCCACCUCCAAUGUAGUGGUGAAGCGGCAGCAUUCCAUAUCAUGCUAUCUCCAUAUGGUCUAAAUAAUGCAUCUGCUAAUGGUGUGGCCUUUAGCUGCAAUUUCCUGACAUUUUGGAGUGUCUGUGAACAUUGAAAGCCCUUAACACAGCAUGCAAAGCAGAAAGCUUUUUUUAUUAAUUGAACCAUCACUGUACCCAAGACUACUGGGGAAAGGGCUUCAGAGGCAGCAAUCAGAUUAUGGAAUGCCCUACCAGAGAGGCAGAUUUUUUGUGUUCUUUUUGGUACCAGAUGAAUACCUUUUUAUUUAUGCAGGCUUUUAAAUGGUGAACUUUUUGAAUUCAUCCAAUUUUAGGUCCGCUGUAUAAUUUUCAUGAUGCUGUUUUACCCUCUGCUGAUGUUUGGUGUGUUUUUUUUAAUGCCAAGUGUUUAAGCUAUAAUUUGUUUACUUCUUUUAUUGUUCCAUUUUUUAUUUAUUGUAUCCUUUAUUAUUUCCAGAGAACACUGUUUGGGGACAGCACAUAAAUGGCUGUUAAUACAAAAAUAAACAGUAUUUGAUUUAUGGGCCCUAAUGUGGAGAUCCUAAUGUACAGCAUCAUCGUAAUUUACACAUUGUUGCUUACAGGGAUUUCUUGCCUGCUAAUUAAUUAAAUGAUUGAUGCUGGUAAUUCAGAUGGCAGCUGAUGCAGAGGAGUUGGGCCUACCUGGGUUAAAUGUCUCCCAUGCCCAACCAGAUUAUCAGAGCUCCUUGGUGCACCUCCAGCCCAAAGGCUAUACACAUGCAUUGCCCCCCACUUUCUGCUAUUCUUCAGGGGGUAGGAAUCCAAAAAGAGCAAUCUAGCUCCUAUUUCUGCAUGUGGAUUGUCUUUGCCUUGUUGGUCCUCUGGUCUUCAAAUCUGUGAAUCUAAUAAAUUUUCACUCACAAGAAAAUAAACACAUGACAAUAAAAUAGCCAUUAAAUAAGAUAAAUGUGUGUGGGGGGAGGGGGGGAGGCCAUUCAAACAGAAGACAAUUGAGGAAUUGAAUCUUCUUCUUUUUUUAAAGUCAACUUACACUUUGCUUUCUGCUCCACAGAAAAUGUAUUCCUAAAAAAAAGAUUUAAUGCGUUGCUGGUGUAGAGAAAUCAAUUCUUUCAAAUCAAUGGUAAUUUUGUAGGCAGUUAGUACUUAUUCACAUGAAUGAGUGUGCCUCUGCUGGUGUUCUGCAAAAAUAAUCAGUGGCAGAACAAUAUUAAACUUUGGAGCUUAAUUUGCAAGUACGUAAAAUAGCAUCUAUUGAUGCUCAUGCCUCUUUUAUGUCUUUAUUGAAAUGUCUCCCUUUUCUACAAGCACAAGACAAUGGACAGCACUCAGAUGUAUCUCUCUCUGUGUAGGUAAUGAACCCCCUUCAUUCUUUGCCUGGGUAGUUUAUCCUGGGGGUGCUGCCUGGGAGGUUUAGGGUGCACAAGGUGCUGUAAUAAUUAGUAGGGUGUAAAUUAUUUGGAAAAUCAUACAGUUGACCCAAUAAACUAGCACCAUACCAUUGCUUAAAACGUUGGAAUAAUUUUGAAAUGCAACAAGCCCCAUAAGUAUGCAGCACAACAUGUGUUAAGUCAAAGGUGUUCAGCUGGUGACUGAAAGAAGGUUAGGGCACCACCAUCACAGUUUUUAAAUGUUCUUGCUCCUUUCAGUAUCAUUGCCUUUCCUUUCAGCCAAGGCUAUGCAAACUUGGUACAUCAUGAAAGGAAGAGGAGAAAUGUAUUUUGAUCCAGUAUGAUGUCCACCAUCAAAGGAAGUGGUGGGCCAAGCAAGAUGUAGCCCAGUAGGCCUGCGGUUGUGUAACAGAGGGAGAUAAAAGAAAGUGAGGAACUUGGACAGGGACCAAAAUAUUGGUUCAAGACUAUGGUUAAUAGUCCUGCAGAACAUGUUGCCUGAGAAGCAAUUGGCAGAGCUUUAUAAUCUAAGUCCAGAUGAAACCCCACCUCACCCCGGAGUGCUGCAUCUGCCUUGUUAAAGGGCUGGUCUGCACAAGAAAAGUGAGCAAGAGAGAUGUGCAGAUACUGAAAGAGGGAGGGCAGAGGAAGAUAGAGCCCACUUGAGACUGGCCGGGGGCAGCUAAUCUCAGUGUAGGUUCCCCUACACUGGGCACCAAGCCAAGGGGGUGCAAAAUGUUGAUCACCACCACCACCUAUAUUUAUACAAGUACCUACUGAGAGGUUCAUUUAAAAAGCAAUUUUUGUCCUUGCUUAGGACAUCACCAAAGUCCACCCCUGCCAGGGGCUGGGUCCCCACCCUCACAUGUUGGGGGAAAGACUGCUGUCGUAGUCAAGGGUGAUUGAAGUUCUAUAAUUUAUUUACUUAGAUCCAUGGAGGGAGUCAUUUAGUACAACACAUUAUUUGGAUGGGUACUCAGAACUUUGAGACUUGGUCUCCAUGGCAUAGUGGCAGUUUG
rnacentral:lncRNA from 1 species